CCCCCCCCAAGCAAUAGAAGAAUAGACAAAAACAAUCCAUACUUUCCAUGGUGUUAGGCGACCCCUGACUAAUCGUAAAUCGGCCCCCAAAGGGGUCGCGAAUCACAGGUUGAGAACCCAUGCUAUAGAUCGCCACCGUUUUUAAUACAGCUAGAACAUCCUGGGCAGCCAUGGAGAAGGCAAGGGGGAGAACAGAAUCAUUGGACAAUUUGAUUUGAAUCUUAACAUACAA